rnacentral:rRNA from 1 species
GACGUAGGGCGCGAGCGUUGUCCGGAUUUAUUGGGCGUAAAGAGCUCGUAGGCGGCUUGUCGCGUCGACCGUGAAAACUUGGGGCUCAACCCCAAGCCUGCGGUCGAUACGGGCAGGCUCGAGUUCGGUAGGGGAGACUGGAAUUCCUGGUGUAGCGGUGAAAUGCGCAGAUAUCAGGAAGAACACCCGUGGCUAAGGCGGCUCUCUAGUACGUGACUGACGCUGAGACGCGAAAGCGUGGGGAGCAAACAGG